UACGAAGGGUGCAAGCGUUAAUCGGAAUUACUGGGCGUAAAGGGUGCGUAGGCGGUUGUUUAAGUCUGUCGUGAAAUCCCCGGGCUCAACCUGGGAAUGGCGAUGGAUACUGGGCAGCUAGAGUGUGUCAGAGGAUGGUGGAAUUCCCGGUGUAGCGGUGAAAUGCGUAGAGAUCGGGAGGAACAUCAGUGGCUAAGGCGGCCAUCUGGGACAACACUGACGCUGAAGCACGAAAGCGUGGGGAGCAAACAGG
rnacentral:rRNA from 1 species